GGUUUUCUGCGUGCAGGCUUGCGUUGAAGCACGGUGGAAAACUCCCUUCUGAGGUGAAACACCAGUUAUCCUCAAUCGGUGACGUGGAAGUCUCUCAAAGGUUAUUCCUCCCCGCUUUGAAUCAAUUUCAUUGUUUUAAUACAUGUGAUCAACUUCCAUCGUAAAACACACCCCGUGACUUAUACAGUCAGGUUCCGCCCUGCAGACGGAUGCCACCGCUCCCUUUCUAAGAGAACGGAACGAAAACCAUCUGUCUGACGCUAUCUCUGGUGAGAUCGCCUCUAAGAUCAUUAAGCAGUGCAAACGAGACGCCCUUCCAGCGCCUCUAACCCGCUCUGUCCCCCUGCAGCCCGGUGGGCAGGAGGUCUAGGCGCUCCUCCGAGACGCUCCAGGACGCGGCGGGACUCGAGAAGACGUGAAAGUGAAGCGCGAGCAUCACUGUGAUUGGCUCUGCGCUCUCUAAAAGCAUCACACACGACGCGCUCCAGCCAGUGCUCCGACGAGCUCCCAAACUUACACGGACGUUUCUCCCCCCCCCCCACCUCCGACUCCGAGGAUCUUCACACCUGCAGAGAUCUCCAGAAAGGAGGGUGGUUCGCUCUCCGCGGUGCUGAACACAACAAAGGCUCCUGCGCUGAUCAACUAGUGAACACAAAGCCUCCCACCACCUCCUCCUCGCCGGCUUCUGAUCUUCAUGGUCGGAGCCUCCUGCAAGGCUGCUCCACGGUGCGUUGGGUGGUGUUGUGGAUGGAUUGGAGGAUGAUGCUGGACUCCCUGCGCCGGCGGAAGAGAAUGCUCCUCUGCUCCUUCUGGUUCCUGCUGCUGUUCGCCGCCGGAGGCCUGGUGCUCUUCAGCCACCUGCAGGACCUGUCUGAGAUGGUCCCGCAAGAGGCCCCAGGUAAGAUCAAAUCCCGACUAUAACAAUUAAAUGUGUGAAUGUCAAACAAACUCAUCUUCGCGUUUUUGGAGCAAGCCCAACCGCAACAAAGGAAAAGCAGGCAUAUUGUUUUAUUUUUAGAGCAGAGAGAUAUGUUCCUCGUCAGUUCCCAGGGGACUCAGCGGUGCUCUUACGUAACUGCCGUGUGUUUUCACCGGCUGGCUUUGGGUAUCGGCAGGCCGGUGUAGAGCGCUACCAGGCGGAAUAUUGAUUCGGAGCAGAAAGAUGGGGCCGACUUCAGAUCUGUUCCACAAGUUUGCGUGUUGAUGGCGGAACCGAAUAAUAGGUAUGCAAAUAAAUACCACGCAUACCAGCACCCAGCAGAAAGCUUCUCAGCAGCAGGCCUGUCUGCGGCUUUAUUUGAAGACAUCAAUGCUAUUGCUCCCCCCCCCCCCCCAGACAAUAAAUACUACCACGUUGGAGAGCUUUCCUCCAGCAUCUAUUUUUAAGCACUCGAAACAGAAAAUAUAAUUCAUUGAAUUAUAAUACGGUUAAAAAUAAAGAAAUCAAAAUAACUUCCAAGGCUCCUGAGGAACUGCUGAAUCUCCUCUCUCCCUCCUAUGUCAAGUAUUCCAUCGCUCAGUAUUCCCAUCUGGGGGGGAGGGGAUGUGGGGGGGGGGUUAUUCCUGCAGCAGAGGACGGAGAGGAAGUUGCCACUUGACAUUGAUGCCAAGGCCUGGAUGUUGUUGUUGUUCCCAUCGACGAUAUUGACCCGGGCUUUGCGACUGUAAUCUAAUCUACUUCAUUCCCUGAAUGGUGAGCCUUAACAAGGGGUAUCCCUUACAGGUGGCAACGCAGCGCUUAACUCCCCUCUCUGGGGCCACACUGUACGUUACGGAAACAUCUGGAAGUUUUACUCUAUUGUCGCCAAAAGUGGUGCGAUAAUGAGGAGUGCUCUGGACUGCCAGAGCCCCGUCAUAGUGUCGCUUUCCUACCACCACCGAACCCAUUCUGUUUUAUCCCAUCUGCACAAAAACAACUGACAACUCGAGUCAUUUCUGCUGGCCUAGUUUGUGCACAUGGCGAGGCACUGCACGUCAUGAGAAAGACAAACAGAGAGGCACAAUUGCACAGGAUAGACAGCUGCGUGUGUGUGUGUUUGGGGGUGUAUGUAUGUGUGUGUGUGUGUGUGUGUGUGUGUGUGUGUGUGUGUGUGUGUGUGUGUG
ensembl:lncRNA